ACUCAAAUGAAUUGACGGGGGCCCGCACAAGCAGCGGAGCAUGUGGUUUAAUUCGAAGCAACGCGAAGAACCUUACCUAGACUUGACAUCCUCUGAAUUACCUGUAAAGAGGGAAGUCCGCAAGGACAGAGAGACAGGUGGUGCAUGGUUGUCGUCAGCUCGUGUCGUGAGAUGUUGGGUUAAGUCCCGCAACGAGCGCAACCCUUGUUGUUAGUUGCUACCAGUAAGAUGAGCACUCUAGCAAGACUGCCCGGGUUAACCGGGAGGAAGGUGGGGAUGACGUCAAAUCAUCAUGCCCCUUACGUCUAGGGCAACACACGUGCUACAAUGGUGAGUACAGAGAGACGCAAAACUGUGAAGUAGAGCAAAACUCAAAAACUCAUCCCAGUUCGGAUUGCAGGCUGAAACUCGCCUGCAUGAAGCCGGAGUUGCUAGUAAUCGCGAAUCAGAAUGUCGCGGUGAAUACGUUCCCGGGCCUUGUACACACCGCCCGU
rnacentral:rRNA from 1 species